rnacentral:rRNA from 1 species
UCAAGCGACUAAGUGUAUGUGGUGGAUGCCUUGGCGAUUACAGGCGAUGAAGGACGUCGCAGCCUGCGAAAAGCCGUGGGGAGCUGGCAAGCGAGCACUGAUCCACGGAUGUCCGAAUGAGGGAACUCACCCGCAAGGGUAUCUUGAAGUGAAUACAUAGCUUCAAGAGGCGAACGCAGCGAACUGAAACAUCUAAGUAGCUGCAGGAAAAGAAAUCAACCGAGAUUCUGAAAGUAGCGGCGAGCGAAAUUGGAAGAGCCUGCAAGUGAUAUUGAAUUCGAUACUGGAACGGUCUGGAAAGUCCGGCUACAGAGGGUGAUAGCCCCGUACGGGAAAUUGGGUUCAAGGUACUGAGCUUGCGAGAAGUAGAGCGGGACACGUGAAAUCCUGCUCGAAGAUGGGGGGACCAUCCUCCAAGGCUAAAUACUCGUAAUCGACCGAUAGCGAACCAGUACUGUGAAGGAAAGGCGAAAAGAACCCCGGGAGGGGAGUGAAAUAGAUCCUGAAACCGCAUACAUACAAACAGUAGGAGCCCGCAAGGGUGACUGCGUACCUUUUGCAUAAUGGGUCAGCGACUUACGUUCAAUGGCAAGCUUAACCGAGUAGGGGAGGCGCAGCGAAAGCGAGUCCGAACAGGGCGACAUGAGUCGUUGGGCGUAGACCCGAAACCAGAUGAUCUAUCCAUGGCCAGGCUGAAGGUGUGGUAACACACACUGGAGGGCCGAACCGACUAGUGUUGCAAAAUUAGCGGAUGAGCUGUGGAUAGGGGUGAAAGGCUAAACAAAUCUGGAGAUAGCUGGUUCUCCCCGAAAACUAUUGAGGUAGUGCCUCGUGUAUGGCUCCAGGGGGUAGAGCACUGUUAUGGCUAGGGGGACAUGGCGUCUUACCAAACCAUGGCAAACUCCGAAUACUUGGAAGUCUGAGCACGGGAGACAGAGCACCGGGUGCUAACGUCCGGACUCAAAAGGGAAACAACCCAGACCGCCGGCUAAGGUCCCUAAUAUUGACUAAGUGGAAAACGAAGUGGGAAGGCUAAGACAGUCAGGAAGUUGGCUUAGAAGCAGCCAUCCUUCAAAGAAAGCGUAAUAGCUCACUGAUCGAGUCUUCCUGCGCGGAAGAUGUAACGGGGCUAAGUCAAUAACCGAAGCCGCGGAUUCGCAGCAAUGCGAGUGGUAGGGGAGCGUUCUGUAAGCCUGCGAAGGCGGAUCCGCGAGGACCGCUGGAGGUAUCAGAAGUGCGAAUGCUGACAUGAGUAACGUUAAAGCGGGUGAAAAGCCCGCUCGCCGCAAGCCCAAGGUUUCCUGCUCUACGUUCAUCGGAGCAGGGUGAGUCGGCCCCUAAGGUCAGGCUGAGAAGCGUAGCUGAUGGGAAGCUGGUUAAUAUUCCAGCACCGAUUUCAAGUGCGAAGGGGGGACGGAGUCCUGAAGGUCAUCCGGGUGUUGGAUAUCCCGGUUUACGAGCGUAGGAGGUUGACAGGCAAAUCCGUCAACGGAUCUCCAAGGCGAAGGAUCGAGGUUGAGAGAUCAACUGAAGUGACUGAAUGGGCUUCCAGGAAAAGCCUCUAAGCAUCAGCUUGGAAUUGACCGUACCGCAAACCGACACUGGUGGGCGAGCUGAAUAUGCUCAGGCGCUUGAGAGAACUCAGGAGAAGGAACUCGGCAAAUUGACACCGUAACUUCGGGAUAAGGUGUGCCUUUGUAGUGUGAAGAGAGAAACACUCCGAGCAUGAAGAGGCCUCAGAGAAUCGGUGGCUGCAACUGUUUACUAAAAACACAGCACUCUGCAAAGAUGAAAGUCGACGUAUAGGGUGUGAUGCCUGCCCGGUGCUGGAAGAUUAAUUGAUGGGGUGCAAGCUCCUGAUCGAAGUCCCAGUAAACGGCGGCCGUAACUAUAACGGUCCUAAGGUAGCGAAAUUCCUUGUC